AGCUCCAAUAGCGUAUAUUAAAGUUGUUGCGGUUAAAAGCUCGUAGUUGGAUUUCUGUUGAGGUCGGCCGGUGUACAUUACGUGUAUUAUUUGGUUUGGUCUCGGCAUCCUCUGAGGCUGAGGGACUUAAUUGGCUCUCAAGUUUUCAGACUUUUACUUUGAGGAAAUUAGAGUGUUCACGGCAAGCAAGCGCUUUGAAUACAUUAGCAUGGAAUAAUAAUAUAGGACUCUCGUUCUAUUUUGUUGGUUUCUAGAACUUGGGUAAUGAUUAAUAGGGACAAUUGGGGGCAUUCGUAUUAACGCGUCAGAGGUGAAAUUCUUAGAUUGCGUUACGGCGAACUACUGCGAAAGCAUUUGCCAAAGAUGUUUUCA
rnacentral:rRNA from 1 species